rnacentral:rRNA from 1 species
GUCUAUGGCCAUAGCACCCUGAACAUGCCCGAUCUCAUCUGAUCUCGGAAGCUAAGCAGGGUCGGGCAUGGUUAGUACUUGGAUGGGAGAGAGAUGAAGCAAAUGAGAUCUAUUUUCUCGAAUGCC